rnacentral:rRNA from 1 species
GACGAACGCUGGCGGCGUGCUUAACACAUGCAAGUCGAGCGGAAAGGCCCUGCUUUUGUGGGGUGCUCGAGUGGCGAACGGGUGAGUAACACGUGAGUAACCUGCCCUUGACUUUGGGAUAACUUCAGGAAACUGGGGCUAAUACCGGAUAGGAGCUCCUGCUGCAUGGUGGGAGUUGGAAAGUUUCGGCGGUUGGGGAUGGACUCGCGGCUUAUCAGCUUGUUGGUGGGGUAGUGGCUUACCAAGGCUUUGACGGGUAGCCGGCCUGAGAGGGUGACCGGCCACAUUGGGACUGAGAUACGGCCCAGACUCCUACGGGAGGCAGCAGUGGGGAAUAUUGCACAAUGGGCGGAAGCCUGAUGCAGCAACGCCGCGUGCGGGAUGACGGCCUUCGGGUUGUAAACCGCUUUCGCCUGUGACGAAGCGUGAGUGACGGUAAUGGGUAAAGAAGCACCGGCUAACUACGUG